UUCCAAAAUACAAUUUAAGAAUUUUGCUUACCUACCUUCUCUAUCCUUUAUAGCUCUAUGCAUUAGGUGCAUGACGUUUCACUUUCCCGCCAAAAGGUUCGAUGAAAAAAAAAGUUUUUAUUUUAUUACACAGCCCCAGCCCCAGACUGCACCUCGCCUCUUGAGACCGGACCAUGCAGAGGCAGGAAAGUUGCUUUCGGCUACGAUACUGACUUGGAAGGAUGCAAACAGUUCAUCUACGGAGGAUGUGACGGCAACGGCAACCGUUACAACACUCUAGAGGAGUGUCAGGCUGCUUGCGAGAGUGACUGCAACAAAUAAUAACGAAAUGCAAGCAAUCAAUUGGGUAUUUGACAGCACAGUCAAUUGACAUACUUUUUUUAUACUGUCAAAACGCACCAUUCCCUAUUUUUCACAUUUUGCAAAGUAGAGGGAAUCUAAAGGCCAUAGCAGACUUAUCAACUCGGAAAGGGAUCAUACCGU